UACAGGGGGUGCUAGCGUUGUUCGGAAUUACUGGGCGUAAAGGGCGCGUAGGCGGUUUCGCAAGUCAGGGGUGAAAUCCUGGAGCUCAACUCCAGAACUGCCUUUGAUACUGAAGAUCUUGAGUCCGGGAGAGGUGAGUGGAACUGCGAGUGUAGAGGUGAAAUUCGUAGAUAUUCGCAAGAACACCAGUGGCGAAGGCGGCUCACUGGCCCGGUACUGACGCUGAGGCACGAAAGCGUGGGGAGCAAACAGG
rnacentral:rRNA from 1 species